CAGCCGCCGCGGUAAUACGUAGGGUGCGAGCGUUAAUCGGAAUUACUGGGCGUAAAGCGUGCGCAGGCGGUUUUGUAAGACAGGCGUGAAAUCCCCGGGCUCAACCUGGGAAUGGCGCUUGUGACUGCAAAGCUAGAGUGCGGCAGAGGGGGAUGGAAUUCCGCGUGUAGCAGUGAAAUGCGUAGAUAUGCGGAGGAACACCGAUGGCAAAGGCAAUCCCCUGGGCCUGCACUGACGCUCAUGCACGAAAGCGUGGGGAGCAAACAGGAUUAGAUACCCCUGUAGUCCCUGUCUCUUAUAC
rnacentral:rRNA from 1 species